UACAGAGGUCUCAAGCGUUGUUCGGAAUCACUGGGCGUAAAGGGUGCGCAGGCCGCGCGGGCAGUCAAAUGUGUAAUUCAGGGGCUCAACCCCUGGACUGCGCUUGAUACUUCCGUGCUAGAACCUUGGAGAGGAGUCUGGAAUUCUCGGUGUAGCAGUGAAAUGCGUGGAUAUCGAGAAGAACACUAACGGCGUAAGCAAGACUCUGGACAAGUGUUGACGCUCAUGCACGAAGGCUAGGGUAGCGAACGGG
rnacentral:rRNA from 1 species